rnacentral:lncRNA from 1 species
AUUUCAGAGGUUUUCUUUAUUUUUUUUAGGGUGUGCAUUUGGGGGUUUGAGGGGGGCAGAGGGAGAGAGAGAAUCUCAAGCAUGAAGAGCAUGAAGAUGGGCAUGUGCCAAUCCUCCUGCUGGGCAUGGAGCCCAACACAGGGCUCCAUCUCAUAACCCUGAAAUCAUGACUUGAGCCAAAAUGAAGAAUCAGACACUUAACUGUCUGAGCCACCCAGGGACCCUUCAAGGCCUUCUAUUCUUAUUUUCUUUCUAGCUCCACUAUCCAUUCUUCUUAUCUGUCUCUCUUAAAUAACACAGUGCUUUAUAGCUUUUAUUAAGUCCUCACCCUGACUACAGAGCUGACACCUAUCUGGCAUGUUCUACACUCCCCCCUCUCCUGUGUCCUGUGCAAACAUCAUUCAUCAAUCCCAGCUUAGGAGCGUUAGAAUCUUCCUAAUACAUCACUCCAGAAUAUCACUGAUUGUAGCAUAGAAAGCAAAACCUAUGUGCCACCUCUGGACUGGAAGAUUUACUUUCCAGAACUUCCAGUUAUUCUUUCCAAAGUCAGGACUUGGUUUCUUACAUAGUGAGUACAUUUAGGUACCCUUUGCCUUUCCUGUAUCCAAAGUGUAACUCCUUCCUUGAGAGAUUAUUAUUAUUUUUUUGAUUAUGGGUCUUGUAUUAGGAUUUUGGGAAAGUUUUAACAUGUUAUCAAUUUGAUCCAUUAGACUGGAGAAGCCAAGAAUCAUUUGUGCAACAUUUUACUACAAAUGGAAUGUCUGAAGAGCUAUGUCUACAGUUUGGAUUUGAUAUAAAUCAAUGUUAAUGUCCUUGGAGAUUAUUUAGGUUUUUGAAAAAACUUACUUUUUUAACAGAGGAUUUUCAAAAUAUUUUAGACUCCUGAAGGCUAGAUUUAGUGGCAUAGACCUCUUGAUUGUGUUUUCUGACAGGUGACGUCUUUCCUGCAAAUAAUGUUUUGAUGUCAUUAUUGUUGGUCUAACAAAGGAUAUAGGAAAGUCUAAUGAAAAAUUGAUUUAUAACCAUAAAAAAGUUAAAAAACUCCUUUCCCCAGAAACAGAAAUAGAAGCUAUUUAUUGCGGCCACUAAUUUUCUGGCAUCUUUCUUCCAUCACAUUACCUUCUAUCUAUGUCUAUAAUGAAACCACAGAGUUUCUUCUCCCAAAACAGUGACCACAUAUAAACAUCCUUGGUAUAUAAACAAUUUCAGGAUGUAUUUGAUCCACUUAACUGCAUCCAUGGGUUAAAAGUUAAGAAUUCCUCCUGUAAUGACAUAGAAAGCAUUCUCACCCUAGUUUUAAUUAGCCUCUGGCUUUAUUCUCACUCCCUUUUAGGAGAUACAGUACACCCACAAAAUAAGAAGACAGGCCAAGUUUCCAUAUAAGCAGGUAUGUGACCUGUAGGAGAGAUUAUAAACAUAGAAAACAACCAGAAAUAAUCUUUGGCAUUAAUGAUGUUCAUGGCACUGAUAGAUGAGAUUUUACUUGAAGCUGUGGGAUUGAACUCAAGCAAAUGUUUCUAUUUCCCUCUAUAUAGUUUUUGGUUAAACCUCAACUGGUAAAAAAGGAUGGGGGAAGGUAUAAACAAUAGAUAAAACUUCAAAAUAUCUUUGGAAGAUAUAUAAAGGAGAUGCCAUUUUAUGAAACAUAGAACAUAGCUCAGUAAAGACAUCAGAGGAAACCACUCAAUAAAUGCUCUAAAAUUGAGAAAUAUGACAAAGUGUGGGCAUAAAGGAGGAAAGAAGGAAAAGAGAAAGGAUUAAUUAAAAAUUCUGCCUUUGGUGUGAAUGAUGAUCCAUCUCUUCUCCAUUGCUUCUCAUUAAUGGAGCUUAGAAAUAAUUUUACCCCUAGGCAAAAUAAACCAGAAGGGUCUUUUCUGAAGAUAAUGAGUGAACUUCCUAAGGGAAGAUGAAGAGCUUAGGUGUUGAGUUGUGUGGGUGUCCUAGUAAAGGACUUUGCUUGUACCUUUCCAGGGCAUUCCGGGGCUGAGAUUAGCUUCUUGCCUGUCCAUCUUUGGGGAAGGUCAGUCAGUGUUACAGCUCUGUCACACCCACAGAAUGUCCAUCCAGGUCGCCAUUUUACUCCUGGGUAGAAACCUUGUGUUAAGACCUGCAUGUAAAAGACUAUCGUACAGUAUGUACAUUUAACUUAGUUCAAUUCAAUUAUAUAUGAUUGAUAAGAAUAUUGAGAAAAAUAGUUUAAGUAUCUGUUCUUCUACUCCAUGAGUGCAUGUUGUAGGCUGAUGGUGAUAUGGAACACAUAUUUGCUCAUUUUAGUUCUUUCAUGCUUUUCAUAAGGUGACCAUCUCACUGUAUUAAAUGCAACUUGACUAUAUGAAUAUGCUCACCAUAAUAAUAUAUUAAAAAUACAUAAGGUAAAUAUUUCAUAUUGUGUUCAAUUUGAUUUCUUCCCCAGAGGAAGAGCUUUGUGAUAUAUCUAUUGUGAAAUACUAGACACUUUUCUACUGAAAUUUCAAGGGUCAUUUUGACUAUAGGUAAUUUUUGCCUCAAAUAUGGGUCAUUGUAAAUUUUAAUCCUUAUGUGAGAUGACUACACUCUGAAACAGCAAAGGAAAUUUCAUCUAUAAUAAAAUAACUCAAUAUCCUCAUUCCUUUUUUAAAAAUUAAUUUUCCUGAGGUAACAGAUUGUAAGUGUAUAGUUUGAAUUUUGACAAACAUAUAUGUUCCUGUAACUACAGACAAAGUCAAGACAUGGAACAUUUCCCUCACCUGAAAGUUCUCUCAAUCCUAAUGUUUUCCUCCUCAUGUUUCUGAGGCAGCAGUGAUCUUUAUCUUUGAAUACUUCCUAUAAAUAGCCAUCCAUGAUAUUGUCCUUUGUUCUUUCAUUCAGCAUGGUGUUUGGGGGAAAUGCCAUGUUUUUGAGUGUAUUAGUAGAUGGUUCACUAUUAUUUCUCACCAGUAUCAUUGAAUGAAUAUAUCCUGUUUUUGUUCUUUUUUUUUUUUUUUGGUGGAUAUCUGGGCCAAUUCCAUGCUGGGAAUAUUAAAGACUUAAGCUCUUAUAAACAUUUGUGAAUAUAACAUUUAAUUUCUUAGAGUAAAUAUCAAGGAGUGGAAUUGAUGAGUCAUGGGAUAGGUGUAUACUUAUUUUUUUUAAGAAACCACCCAAUCGUUCUCCAGUGUAUUUCAUUCUUAUUUUAUAUUCUCACAAGACGUGUGAGAUCCAGUUCUGUCUGCUAACAAUUCUAUUGUUAUCCUUCUUAGUUUUAACUAUUUUAGUCAGUAUGAAAUGAUAUCUUUUUGUUUUAACUUGCAUGUCUGUGUUGACUAAGUGUUAAGCACUUUACCUUUUGUUUAUUGGUCAUUUAUAUUUUUUGGUAAAGACUUUGUUCAAGUCUUUUGCCCGAUUUUUAAUUGCAUUGUCUUUUUAAUUGUUAAACUGUAGGCAUUAUUUAAAUGUUCUGGAUGUAAAUUCUGUGUCUUUUCUAUCUUACAGAAGGUUCUUUCAGUUUGUCACUUGACUUUUCUUUUUCUUUGUGAUACCUUCUGAAGGGCAGUUUUUAAUUUUGAGGAAGUAUCCAUUUAUUUGCAUUUUCAUUUUAUGAAAUUUCAUUUUAUGGUCCAUGAUUUUGUGUCCUAUAUAUGGAAUCUUUGCCUGACUUAAAAUCACAAACAUAUUCUUCUGAGCUUUCUUCUAUAAAUUCUAUGGUUCUAGCUCUUACAUUUAGGACUAUGGAAUGAAUCUUUGCAUUUUGGGUAUAUCCAGUUUAAUUUCCAACAUGGUAGCUUACUCCAACCAGAGUUGGCCUCUUUCUCCUGGUCAAACAAAGGCUGUUCUUCUUCUUCUUCUUCCUUCUUCCUUCUUCUCCUCCCUUCUUCUUCCUUUUUUUGUUUGACAAUUUUAUUUGCCAUACAUUUUUUUUCUUUACCUGCCCAGAACAGCAAGGUUGUCUUUUUUUUUGUUUUUGUUUUUGUUUUGUUGGGUUUUUUUUUGCAUGUUUUUUUAUAGGAGUUCAAUUUGCCAACAUAUAGCAUAAUACCUGGUGCUCAUCCCAUCAAGUGAGACGGGAUGGCCAACACCCAGUCACCCCCACCCCCCACGACCUCCCUUUCCACCACCCCUUGUUUGUUUCCCAGAGUAGGAGUCUCUCAUGUUCUGUCACCCUCUCUGAUUUUUCCCACUCAUUUUAUCUCCUUUCACCUAUAAUCCCUUUCACUAUUUUUUAUAUUCCCUGUAUGAGUGAAACCAUAUAAUGUUUGUCCUUCUUUGAUUAACUUACCUCACUCAGCAUAAUACUCUCCAGUUCCAUCCAUGUCGAAGCAAAUGGUGGAUAUUUGCCAUUUCUAAUGGCUGAGUCAUAUUCUAUUGUAUAUAGAGACCACAUCUAUUUUAUCCUUCUUAAGCAGGCUUGUUGCUCUGCUCACCCUCUUUCUGACCUUUGCACCUACUCUCAAAUAUGAAACCAUUCUCUGGACUUUGAUUCUUUUAGAUUUCUUUGAAUCUACAGCUAUUCAGUGAAGAUCUUUAAAGAAAGGUAUGCAUUGGGUUUAUCUGGCUAGUUUAUAUAAUUAUAGCAGGAGUGACUUAUUUAGGUUCUUCUAUAUCAUAACUAUAAAUAAAACAUUGUUUCCCAUUAUUACACCAAAAAAAAAAAAAA